GCCACUGGAAUCUAAAUCAACCUGGAUUUCAGGAACCUCAGGUGACAGUGCACUUAAUUCUAUACAGCUCUAUGAAAGAUGAACAUUCUCUGAUUUACUUUAACUGAAGGAGUCCUGACCACAACUUUGCACUAAAGGUAAGAUACUAAGAGGCAAAAUCAGCUAGGACACUGAUGCA
rnacentral:lncRNA from 1 species